CAGUCGCCGCGGUAAUACGGAGGGUGCAAGCGUUAAUCGGAAUUACUGGGCGUAAAGCGUGCGUAGGUGGUGGUUUAAGUCCGUUGUGAAAGCCCUGGGCUCGACCUGGGAAUUGCAGUGGAUACUGGGUCACUAGAGUGUGGUAGAGGAUAGUGGAACUUCCGGUGUAGCGGUGAAAUGCGUAGAGAUCUGGAGGAAUACCGGUGGCGAAGGCGGCCCCCUGGACAAAGACUGACGCUCAGGUGCGAAAGCGUGGGGAGCAAACAGGAUUAGAUACCCCUGUAGUCCCUGUCUCUUAUAC
rnacentral:rRNA from 1 species